rnacentral:tRNA from 1 species
UGGCUCAAAGGAGUAGGGCACCGGCCCUAUAUGCCGGAGGUGGUGGGUUCAAACCCAC